rnacentral:rRNA from 1 species
UACGUAGGGGGCAAGCGUUGUCCGGAUUUACUGGGUGUAAAGGGCGCGUAGGCGGGCUCGUAAGUUAGAGGUGAAAUCCUGCAGCUUAACUGCAGAACUGCCUUUAAUACUGCGAGUCUUGAGUGCGGAAGAGAGAAGCGGAAUUCCAGGUGUAGUGGUGAAAUACGUAGAUAUCUGGAGGAAUACCAGUUGCGAAGGCGGCUUCUUGGUCCGUUACUGACGCUGAGGCGCGAAAGCGUGGGGAG